UACGAAGGUGGCAAGCGUUGUUCGGAUUUACUGGGCGUACAGGGAGCGUAGGCGGUUGGAUAAGCCCUCCGUGAAAUCUCCAGGCUUAACCUGGAAAGUGCAGAGGGGACUGUUCAGCUAGAGGAUGGGAGAGGAGCGCGGAAUUCCCGGUGUAGCGGUGAAAUGCGUAGAGAUCGGGAGGAACACCAGUGGCGAAGGCGACUACCUGGCCUGUUCUUGACGCUGAGGCGCGAAAGCUAGGGGAGCAAACGGG
rnacentral:rRNA from 1 species